rnacentral:lncRNA from 1 species
CACGAACAAAACGCCGCAAUUUGGAUAUAACGAUGGAUUAUUUUGGACCAAACCAACAUUUGUUAUUGAAGUAGCAGUCCUGGGAGUGCAUUCUGACGAAGACAACAAAAGAAACCACACAAACAAAAAGUAUUUGCCAAUAUCAUAACUGGAACUGGAGCUGAAGAUUGAGGACAGCUUUGAUAUGCUAGCAUACGCUCCUUAACAUUUUUACUGGAUGAAAACGCAGCAAGAAAACACAUAGGCCAAUAGAGCCAUGUGGGGUGCCAUUUGGGACACAAACCAUGUUACCUCACAGACGUCCACCCCACACAUCCUGUUUGUGGCAGCAUCCUCCAUUGUUCAUCUGUAUCUACCUGAGCAGGAAGCCGGAGAGGGGGAGGAUGGAGGAAGAAGGGGAAGAUGGAAAAUAUGCUGAUACAUGCCCAAGAUAGAGAAGAUGUAUUAAUAAAAAGAGGAAACAGUUCACUGCUGUUCAUUGAUCAUCCCAAACUAUUCUCAAAGGAG